GCCAAUACUUACUGAUCCAUCCCUAGGGUAGUCUGGUAUACAAGGGUAGGUGUAUACAGUCACAUCAUCUGGUGCCAAUACUUUUACUGAUCCAUCCCUAGGGUAGUCUGGUAUACAAGGAUAGGUGUAUACAGUCACAUCAUCUGGUGCCAAUACUUACUGAUCCAUCCCUAGGGUAGUCUGGUAUACAAGGAUAGGUGUAUACAGUCACAUCAUCUGGUGCCAAU